rnacentral:sRNA from 1 species
AGCCAUAUGGCAUGAUCCUCUCUGGUACCACUGGUGGUCGCAAGCUACACAUGGCUCCCAGACAGCUACCUGAUCCCAAGGGAGGAGACAAGGAUCUACAGUGUGCAGAGUUGCCAAUGUUGGCUAGAUAUUGGAGCUGGAGGAAGGAGAAUCUGUACACAUAGAUUCAUCUUCUGUACAUACCAGCCUGGACGACCAGAACAAAACAACCAGAAAUUGGGACAACAUCGUGAGCAAGUGGAACAUACACCAAAAGCUGGAAGGAGCUCUCAGAGAACUUCAUGGAACCAACCACAUCUCCCUGGAAACAUGCAUGGACAACCAGUUUUCAUACCACAGUCGACUUGAAUAGUUACUUCUCUCCUACGACAUCAAGCAUGCUUAAACGAUUCAGGCAAAUCGGAACGAAUUCCACACACUCAAACAGAAGAGCCAGCCCAUAGGUUGUCUUUAGCGUGACCUGAGGAACAACAGUUUUUCACUCAAGUCUAUCGUAGAUGUUGCUUUUGAAACUCAGUGUUACCAGGCACCAUGGUUUGGACAUUGCUGUUUGCUGUUCCUUUGAAGAAGAAGAAGAAGAAGAAGAAGAAGAAGAAGAAGAAGAAGA